AACGCACAUUGCGCCCUCUGGUAUUCCGGAGGGCAUGCCUGUUCGAGCGUCAUUAUCACCCCUCAAGCCCGGCUUGCUGUUGGACCACGCGACUCACCCUCGCCGGUUCCAAAGAUAAUGACGGCGUCCGUGGGAGACUCCAGUACACUGAGCUUUCGGGCAACGUACUUGGCUUAGGACUCACGCGACCCGGUCUUUUUAUAACCAUUAUUUUAUAACAAGGUUGACCUCGGAUCAGGUAGGAAUACCCGCUGAACUUAA
rnacentral:misc_RNA from 1 species